CCUUUUACAUGUUCCCAGAUUUCUCUUCGUUCAAUUUCUAUCUCCGCCUCUCUCUCCAGAAAAUCUUCUCUCUCUCACAAUCUCUCGGAGUUAUCUUCUUUCAUUUGAUUCAUGAUAUGAAACCAUAAAUCCAAUUUCUGUUCUCAUGAAUCGCGAGCCUAAAUCAAGAGCAACCCAAACAACCCAAUCUUUCAACAGAAAUCGAAAACUCUAUCUCAAAAAUCAAAACCCAUGGAUGAGCAGAAAUCAAAAGCAAACAUUGUAACGCAAGAUCUGCUUACUUUUCUCUUGAUAUCAUCAGGUAAGGUGUUUCGUUUUCUAUUUUCCCCUACAAGAGAACUCCUCAAUUAGGUUGAAGAUCUCUUCUCCUAGUGUUGAGGAAAUCAUCUGCAGCUUAAAGAAGGGUUUAAUCGCAUCAUAAAUCGUUGUUGGUUUCUUGAUUCUCUUGGGUUCGAAGAUUGGUUGCUAGAGUUUCCCUACAGAGAGAUGAUAUUGAGAUGAUACUUGUUGUUGUUAAACGAUCCACUUAUUACUACUGAUUACAUGGAGUGUUUAAAGGGUCUCAAUUUUCUUUAAAGGAUGUCGAGGUGUUGGUUGGUGAAGUUGAUUUGGAUGAAGUAAGAUUUGAUUUCACAUUUCUUAAAACUUGCCGGUCUAAUAUUCUGGAUUAAUAUACCUUCAUUUGGUUAAUUUAAUGGAGUGUCUUUAGAAUGGUGGCCGCUCCUGCUGAAGCUGCUAUUGAUUUCACAUUUCAUAAAACUUUCCGGUCUAAUAUUCUGGGUUAAUAUACCUUCAUUUGGUUAAUUUAAUGGAGUGUCUUUAGAAUGGUGGCCGCUCGUGCUGAAGCUGCUAUUGACUGACAGUAUACAACUGAUAGCAAAGAUUUCGCCAAACACAUAUUUUACACCGUUUUCAUGGGACUGAAAUUAGAUGCCAUAAUGACGCGUUCAAAGCUACAAGCCGCCGAAACCGUUUCUUCUCACCUUGAUGUUUGGAUGAACAUUGUUAUACAUGAAGAACUAAAUUUCUGACAACCAUCCAGUGUGUAUUAGGUACUAGUUCACUGAGGUUCAGAUGUCACAAGGACGCGUUCUAAGCUACUAGCCACUGAAAUAUUGAACUGGGACCUGAACUCAACAGGGGUAAAGCAGAGUUGGAAUGACUGAAGAGUAAAACUGGCCGAAGAAGUCACUUAUCCUUGCAUGAACAAUCAAAACCAGGAAAGGAAGCUAGCUGAAAUGAGGAAAUACUUCUUAUGAGGGUCCAAGUGGUGGAUCAAGGAAGAUAUUAUAGGCUCUUAUGAAGCAUAUCAUAGUAUGGGAAAUCCUCUGUUAUUGGUUUUUCUUGUAUUUGCGUUGUUGCUUAUGUUAAUAGCAAAAAGAUUAUGAAUUAAGCAAAUAUGAAACUUGAGUGAUUAUUGUUUGUUAAAGUAGUAUAUACUGAAUUGGGGUUUUUGAUAUAAUGGGUAUUCAAAUUUUUGUUCUUUGUCAUUAUAUAUGAUUUUAGUUGAA